UACGUAGGGACCAAGCGUUGUUCGGAUUUACUGGGCGUAAAGGGCGCGUAGGCGGCCUGACAAGUCACUUGUGAAAUCUCCGGGCUUAACUCGGAACGGCCAAGUGAUACUGUCAAGCUAGAGUGCAGAAAGGGCAAUCGGAAUUCUUGGUGUAGCGGUGAAAUGCGUAGAUAUCAAGAGGAACACCUGAGGCGAAGGCGGGUUGCUAGGCUGACACUGACGCUGACAGCGCGAAAGCCAGGGGAGCAAACGGG
rnacentral:rRNA from 1 species